rnacentral:snoRNA from 1 species
AAAUGUGAGUGAUUUAUAAGGCAUAAUUACUUGUUGUUCUCACAUUUGGGUGACAUGUGUCUCCCUAAAACCUUCUUAUGAUGUUAGCACACUACCAAUUGCUCUGAUA